rnacentral:rRNA from 1 species
UUUAAGGUCUAAUCUGCCCUAUGAGGAGUUAAAUGGCCGCGGUACUCUGACCGUGCAAAGGUAGCAUAAUAAUUAGUUUUUUAAUUGAAAGCUGGAAUGAAUGAUUGGACGAGAAAAUUACUGUCUCAGUUUAAUUUAAUUAGAAUUUUAUUUUUAAGUAAGAAAGCUUAAAUUUUUUUAAAAGACGAGAAGACCCUAUAGAGUUUUAUAUUUAUAUAAAUAUGGGUUUUUUAGAAUUUUUUUAUUUGUAUUUAUAUAAUUAUUUUAUUGGGGCGAUAGGAAAAUUUAAUAAACUUUUCUUUUUUAAUUACAUUAAUAUAUGAAAUUUUGAUCCAUUAUUAUUUGAUUAUAAGAUUAAAUUACCUUAGGGAUAACAGCGUAAUUUUUUUUUAGAGUUCUUAUCGAAAAAAGAGAUUGCGACCUCGAUGUUGGAUUAAAAUAUACGUUUGGUGUAGGAGCUAAAUAGUUAGGUCUGUUCGACCUUUAAAAUUUUACAUGAUCUGAGUUUAAACCGGUGUGAGCCAGGUUGGUUUCUAUCUUUAAAUAAUUAAAAUAUUUUAGUACGAAAGGACCAAAUAUUUGUAAAAUUUAUUUUUUUUUGAUUAGUAUUA